rnacentral:rRNA from 1 species
GAUGAACGCUGGCGGCGUGCCUAAUACAUGCCAGUCGAGCGAACGGACGAGAAGCUUGCUUCUCUGAUGUUAGCGGCGGACGGGUGAGUAACACGUGGAUAACCUACCUAUAAGACUGGGAUAACUUCGGGAAACCGGAGCUAAUACCGGAUAAUAUUUUGAACCGCAUGGUUCAAAAGUGAAAGACGGUCUUGCUGUCACUUAUAGAUGGAUCCGCGCUGCAUUAGCUAGUUGGUAAGGUAACGGCUUACCAAGGCAACGAUGCAUAGCCGACCUGAGAGGGUGAUCGGCCACACUGGAACUGAGACACGGUCCAGACUCCUACGGGAGGCAGCAGUAGGGAAUCUCCCGCAAUGGGCGAAAGCCUGACGGAGCAACGCCGCGUGAGUGAUGAAGGUCUUCGGAUCGUAAAACUCUGUUAUUAGGGAAGAACAUAUGUGUAAGUAACUGUGCACAUCUUGACGGUACCUAAUCAGAAAGCCACGGCUAACUACGUG